rnacentral:lncRNA from 10 species
UAAGCCAUAUUCUAUAUGCAUAUUUAUUAUGCAUCAUUGUAAUUUAAGAUAUAUUUGGAUGUAGGCUGUAUAAAUGCUUUUAAUUGUUCUGUGAAUAGAUCCUUAGCUUUAGUUUCACCUGAAUCUUGUGCAAAACACAGCUAAAUAAUUGAAUUGUAUUAUAGACAUUAUGAGGUAAUUGAUCUUUUAAAUGUAAGGAGUAAGAUUGAUCUAUAAUAAUGUGCUGGGGAAAACAUUUAUAGAUAUGUACAUCAUGGUUACUUUUUGUCCUUUCAAAUGGACUUUUUAUUUCUAUUUAUGGAGAGACUGUAACUACUGCUUUUAAUGUCUUUUUAAAGCAAGCUAUUUACCAGCUUGAAAAUAUCAUGCAUUUAAAAUAGAAUCUAUCUGGGGAGUCUAAUUACUAUUGUUCCUAUUUGAGCCAGUUGUCUUUCAGUAAAGCUAUAGAAUCUCUCAAAGAAGUAAAUAGAAAUACUACUUCUUAAAUGUCAUAGGAAGCAUAUCCACUUUGUUUCUAUUAGUACUUUAAGAUCUAUAAGACCUUAUUACUAAAAAGUAGAGGAAUAUAAAGAAUUCAUCAAUUUCUGUAUAUGGGCUUUAACCUAAUUUUCCAGGUUAUGCGACUUAUAAAGCACUGUGACCAAACUUCCAGAGACAGUAAAAAAAAAAAAAAGAAAAAAAAGUUUUACUCCUUCAGAAGUAUUGUCAUGCUACUGCUGUACUUAUUUUCCUAAUCUCUCUCUAUCUGCUAUACUCCCUCCUUUUCUUUCUUUUUCUUUUAAGCUUUUAUAUUUAUUCCUUCCUUUGUUUUCCUCUCUGUAAGACAGCUACUACUGAGCACUAAUUAGUAGAAAGUCAGAGUGGAGGUUAUCUGUGCAUGUCUUUCUGCAAACAUUACUGUUGAGGCCAUCUGAAGAGAGGGAUUGAUAGGUUAGGCUGUUGCACCGUGAAUGUCCUGCUUUGCAUUUUUAACCUCAGCUCCCCAACAUAUAUAUCUUGCAGUUUAUAUGCCUUUUCAUUUAACCGAAACCUCUUUUAUUUAAUUUUUAACAUAACAACCUACAAUUCUUGUGUUUUUAUUAUGCUGUAUUUUUCUGUGUUUCUUAUUACAUGUGAUUGCUAAAUAAAUCAUAUUUGAGGGAAAA